AGCGAACGCUGGCGGCAGGCCUAACACAUGCAAGUCGAACGGACCCUUCGGGGUUAGUGGCGGACGGGUGAGUAACACGUGGGAACGUGCCCUUUGGUUCGGAAUAGCUCCUGGAAACGGGUGGUAAUGCCGAAUGUGCCCUUCGGGGGAAAGAUUUAUCGCCAUUGGAGCGGCCCGCGUCUGAUUAGCUAGUUGGUGAGGUAAAGGCUCACCAAGGCGACGAUCAGUAGCUGGUCUGAGAGGAUGAUCAGCCACAUUGGGACUGAGACCCGGCCCAAACUCCUACGGGAGGCAGGAGUGGGGAAUCUUGCGGAAUGGGCGAAAGCCUGACGCAGCCAGGCCGCGUGAAUGAUGAAGGUCUUAGGAUUGUAAAAUUCUUUCACCGGGGACGAUAAUGACGGUACCCGGAGAAGAAGCCCCGGCUAACUUCGUGCCAGCCGCCGCGGUAACAC
rnacentral:rRNA from 1 species